CGGAAGUGGGGGCCGGCAGGCGGGGGAAGUCGUAGGUGGUAAGGGGUGGACGGAGGUAUGGGGCGGACAGCGCGCGGUGGCGGGGUGGUAAGUACGAGGUUAAAGUGCCCGGCUCGACUGGGAGGGGGCUUCGGAUACUGGCGGACUCGAGGAGUACAGAGGUGAGUUGAAUGCUGGGUGUAGUGGUGAAAUGCUGAGAUAUCCAGAGGAACACCAGCGGCGAAGGCGGCUCACUGGGUACCACCUGACGCUGAGGCGCGAAAGCGUGGGGAGCGAACCGGAUUAGAUACCCGAGUAGUC
rnacentral:rRNA from 1 species